rnacentral:rRNA from 1 species
AUUGAACGCUGGCGGCAGGCUUAACACAUGCAAGUCGAGCGGGGGAAGGUAGCUUGCUACCGGACCUAGCGGCGGACGGGUGAGUAAUGCUUAGGAAUCUGCCUAUUAGUGGGGGACAACAUCUCGAAAGGGAUGCUAAUACCGCAUACGUCCUACGGGAGAAAGCAGGGGAUCUUCGGACCUUGCGCUAAUAGAUGAGCCUAAGUCGGAUUAGCUAGUUGGUGGGGUAAAGGCCUACCAAGGCGACGAUCUGUAGCGGGUCUGAGAGGAUGAUCCGCCACACUGGGACUGGGACGCGGCCCAGACGCCUACGGGGGGCAGCAGUGGGGAAUAUUGGACAAUGGGGGGAACCCUGAUCCAGCCAUGCCGCGUGUGUGAAGAAGGCCUUAUGGUUGUAAAGCACUUUAAGCGAGGAGGAGGCUACUCUAGUUAAUACCUAGGGAUAGUGGACGUUACUCGCAGAAUAAGCACCGGCUAACUCUGUGCCAGCAGCCGCGGUAA